rnacentral:rRNA from 1 species
GAGUUUGAUCGUGGCUCAGGAUGAACGCUAGCGGCAAGCUUAAUACAUGCAAGUCGAGGGGCAGCAUGGGUAGCAAUACCUGAUGGCGACCGGCAAACGGGUGCGGAACACGUACGCAACCUUCCCAAAACUGGUGAAUAGCCUUUCGAAAGAGAGAUUAAUACACCGUAACAUAACGAGGAGGCAUCUUUUUGUUAUUAUAGUAGCAAUACGGUUUUGGAUGGGCGUGCGCCUGAUUAGAUAGUUGGCGGGGUAACGGCCCACCAAGUCUGCGAUCAGCAACUGGUGUGAGAGCACGACCAGUCACACGGGCACUGAGACACGGGCCCGACUCCUACGGGAGGCAGCAGUAAGGAAUAUUGGUCAAUGGACGCAAGUCUGAACCAGCUAUGCCGCGUGAAGGAUGAAGGUCCUCUGGAUUGUAAACUUCUUUUAUCUGGGACGAAAAAAGCUCAUUCUUGAGCACUUGACGGUACCAGAGGAAUAAGCACCGGCUAACUCCGUGCCAGCCGCC